rnacentral:rRNA from 1 species
AACGUAGGGGACAAGCGUUAUCCGGAUUUACUGGGCGUAAAGCGCCCGUAGGCGGCUUUGUAAGUUGGACGUGAAAGCUCCCGGCUUAACUGGGAGAGGCCGUUCAAAACUGUAGAGCUAGAGUGAGGCAGAGGAGUGCGGAAUUCCCGGUGUGGUGGUGGAAUGCGUAGAUAUCGGGAGGAACACCAGUGGCGAAAGCGGCACUCUGGGCCUAAACUGACGCUGAGGGGCGAAAGCGUGGGGAGCGAACGGG